UGAGAGCUGACGGCAAAGUCGGUGGA
rnacentral:sRNA from 1 species